AUUGAACGCUGGCGGCAUGCCUUACACAUGCAAGUCGAACGGUAACAGGUCUUCGGAUGCUGACGAGUGGCGAACGGGUGAGUAAUACAUCGGAACGUGCCUAGUAGUGGGGGAUAACUACUCGAAAGAGUGGCUAAUACCGCAUGAGAUCUACGGAUGAAAGCAGGGGAUCGCAAGACCUUGUGCUACUAGAGCGGCCGAUGGCAGAUUAGGUAGUUGGUGGGAUAAAAGCUUACCAAGCCGACGAUCUGUAGCUGGUCUGAGAGGACGAUCAGCCACACUGGGACUGAGACAAGGCCCAGACUCCUACGGGAGGCAGCAGUGGGGAAUUUUGGACAAUGGGCGCAAGCCUGAUCCAGCAAUGCCGCGUGCAGGAUGAAGGCCUUCGGGUUGUAAACUGCUUUUGUACGGAACGAAAAGCCCUGGGUUAAUACCCUGGGGUCAUGACGGUACCGUAAGAAUAAGCACCGGCUAACUACGUGCCAGCAGCCGCAGUAAUAC
rnacentral:rRNA from 1 species